CUACAGCUAACUGCCUUCCUUGUCCCUCCUGUCACCCUCUUGAAUUCCAUCAGAUAUCAUUCUCUGCUGGAACUGGGUGAGAAGCGUAAAGGCAUGUUGGAGAAGAGUUGCAAGAAGUUUAUGUUGUUCCGUGAGGCGAAUGAACUACAGCAAUGGAUCAAUGAGAAGGAAGCCGCUCUGACAAGUGAGGAGGUCGGCGCAGACUUGGAGCAGGUUGAGGUGCUCCAGAAGAAGUUUGAUGACUUCCAGAAGGACCUGAAGGCCAAUGAGUCACGGUUGAAGGACAUUAACAAGGUAGCUGAAGACCUGGAGUCUGAAGGUCUCAUGGCAGAGGAGGUGCAGGCUGUGCAACAACAGGUAGGUGUCUCCAUCUUGGAGUGAGGAUCUGUUGCUGUAAGGAUGCAGCUUUGUUCCUCCUAUGUCUGUCAUAGCCCAACAAGCAGCGUUUCAUAACACAGAACUGUGGCUUGGCUGUAGGUCAAGUCCUCUAUGUGACCAAAACCGUUGUGAUUAACUUCUUUAUACCAAUAUCCCUCACUUUCAUUUGGUUUGGGGGGGCUCCUGUCUUCUC
rnacentral:sRNA from 1 species